rnacentral:rRNA from 1 species
UACGGAGGGGGCGAGCGUUAUUCGGAAUUAUUGGGCGUAAAGGGCGCGUAGGCGGCUGUACAAGUCAAAGGUGAAAUCCCUCGGCUCAACUGAGGAACUGCCUUUGAAACUGUACGGCUUGAGGCCGGGAGGGGGUAGCGGAAUUCCCAGUGUAGCGGUGAAAUGCGUAGAUACUGGGAGGAACACCAGUGGCGAAGGCGGCUACCUGGACCGGUUCUGACGCUGAGGCGCGAAAGCGUGGGUAGCAAACAGGG